rnacentral:rRNA from 1 species
UUCGAGAUCUAGUGGCGCACGGGUGAGUAACACGUGGGAACCUGCCUUUAGGUACGGAAUAACGUCUGGAAACGGACGCUAAUACCGUAUAUUUCCUCCGGGAAAAAGGUCCGCCGCCUAAAGAGGGGCCCGCGUCAGAUUAGCUUGUUGGUGGGGUAAUGGCUUACCAAGGCUACGAUCUGUAGUUGGUCUGAGAGGAUGAUCAGCCACACUGGGACUGAGACACGGCCCAGACUCCUACGGGAGGCAGCAGUGGGGAAUAUUGGACAAUGGGGGCAACCCUGAUCCAGCAAUGCCGCGUGUGUGAUGAAGGCCCUAGGGUUGUAAAGCACUUUCAACGGUGACGAUGAUGACGGUAACCGUAGAAGAAGCCCCGGCUAACUUCGUGCCAGCAGCCGCGGUAAUACGAAGGGGGCGAGCGUUGUUCGGAAUUACUGGGCGUAAAGGGCGCGUAGGCGGUCUAUCCAGUUGGGCGUGAAAGCCCUGGGCUCAACCCAGGAAGUGCGUCCAAUACUAAUAGACUAGAGACCGAGAGAGGAUAGUGGAAUUUCCAGUGUAGAGGUGAAAUUCGUAGAUAUUGGAAAGAACACCAGUGGCGAAAGCGACUAUCUGGCUCGGUUCUGACGCUGAGGCGCGAAAGCGUGGGGAGCA